rnacentral:rRNA from 1 species
UUGGAGGGCAAGUCUGGUGCCAGCAGCCGCGGUAAUUCCAGCUCCAAUAGCGUAUAUUAAAGUUGUUGCAGUUAAAAAGCUCGUAGUUGAAUUUCGGGAUCAGUAUGCUGGUCGUGCCUUCGGUACUAUGCACUGGUGUCACUGAUUCCUCCCUUCUGAAGAACCGUAAUGCCGUUCAGUUGGUGUGGCGGGGAAUCAGGAUUGUUACUUUGAAAAAUUAGAGUGUUUAAAGCAGGCUCGCGCUUGAAUACAUUAGCAUGGAAUAAUGAAAUAGGACGUUUGAUCCUAUUUUGUUGGUUUCUAGGAUCGACGUAAUGAUUAAUAGGGAUAGUUGGGGGGCAUUAGUGUUCUAAUUAGUUC